rnacentral:rRNA from 1 species
UACGUAGGGGGCUAGCGUUGUCCGGAAUCAUUGGGCGUAAAGAGCGUGUAGGCGGUCCGGUAAGUCCGCUGUGAAAGUCGGGGGCUCAACCCUCGAAUGCCGGUGGAUACUGUCGGGCUUGAGUACGGAAGAGGCGAGUGGAAUUCCUGGUGUAGCGGUGAAAUGCGCAGAUAUCAGGAGGAACACCGAUUGCGAAGGCAGCUCGCUGGGACGUUACUGACGCUGAGACGCGAAAGCGUGGGGAGCAAACAGG